rnacentral:rRNA from 1 species
AGCGAACGCUGGCGGCGUGCUUAACACAUGCAAGUCGAGUGCGCAGUUCUCUGUAGCAAUACAGGGGAUGGGCGCACGGCGCACGGGUGCGUAACACGUGGGCAAUCUGCCCUCGGAUGGGGGAUAACUCGCCGAAAGGCGAGCUAAUACCGCAUGACAUUCCGAAGACUCCGGUCUUUGGACUCAAAGGCCGCAAGGCCGUCUGAGGAGGAGCCCGCGCCCGAUUAGCUAGUUGGUGAGGUAACGGCUCACCAAGGCUUUGAUCGGUAGCCGGUCU